AGCGAACGCUGGCGGCAGGCUUAACACAUGCAAGUCGAACGCCCCGCAAGGGGAGUGGCAGACGGGUGAGUAACACGUGGGAACGUACCCUUUGGUUCGGAAUAACUUGGGGAAACUCAAGCUAAUACCGGAUAAGCCCUUAUGGGGAAAGGCUUACUGCCGAAGGAUCGGCCCGCGUCUGAUUAGCUAGUUGGUGAGGUAAUGGCUCACCAAGGCGACGAUCAGUAGCUGGUCUGAGAGGAUGAUCAGCCACACUGGGACUGAGACACGGCCCAGACUCCUACGGGAGGCAGCAGUGGGGAAUAUUGGACAAUGGGGGCAACCCUGAUCCAGCCAUGCCGCGUGAGUGAUGAAGGCCUUAGGGUUGUAAAGCUCUUUUACCCGGGACGAUAAUGACUGUACCGGGAGAAUAAGCCCCGGCUAACUUCGUGCCAGCCGCCGCAGUAA
rnacentral:rRNA from 1 species